rnacentral:rRNA from 1 species
GAUUAACGCUAGCGGCAGGCCUAAUACAUGCAAGUCGAACGGCAGCGGGUCCAGCAAUGGAUGCCGGCGAGUGGCGCACGGGUGCGUAACACGUAUGCAAUCUACCCUUAACUGGGGGAUAGCCCCGAGAAAUCGGGAUUAAUACCCCAUAAUAUUACGGUGAGGAGUCUCACUGUAAUUAAAGCUCCGGCGGUUUUGGAUGAGCAUGCGCGACAUUAGCUGGUUGGUGAGGUAACGGCUCACCAAGGCUUCGAUGUCUAGGGGUUCUGAGAGGAUUCACCCCCACACUGGUACUGAGACACGGACCAGACUCCUACGGGAGGCAG